GGGAGCGAAGCAAUUGGAAGUGGUUCCAAGAAAAGCCUCUAAGCUUCAGUCUAACGAUGACCGUACCGCAAACCGACACAGGUGGGCGAGAUGAGUAUUCUAAGGCGCUUGAGAGAACUCGGGAGAAGGAACUCGGCAAAUUGGUACCGUAACUUCGGGAUAAGGUACGCCCUUGUAGCUUGACCAGCCUGCGCUGGAAGGGUGAAGGGGUUGCAAUAAACUGGUGGCUGCGACUGUUUAAUAAAAACACAGCACUCUGCAAACACGAAAGUGGACGUAUAGGGUGUGACGCCUGCCCGGUGCCGGAAGAUUAAAUGAUGGGGUGCAAGCUCUUGAUUGAAGUCCCGGUAAACGGCGGCCGUAACUAUAACGGUCCUAAGGUAGCGAAAUUCCUUGUCGGGUAAGUUCCGACCUGCACGAAUGGCGUAACGAUGGCCACACUGUCUCCUCCCGAGACUCAGCGAAGUUGAAGUGUUUGUGAUGAUGCAAUCUACCCGCGGCUAGACGGAAAGACCCCAUGAACCUUUACUGUAGCUUUGCAUUGGACUUUGAACCGAUCUGUGUAGGAUAGGUGGGAGGCUAUGAAACCGGAACGCUAGUUUCGGUGGAGCCGUCCUUGAAAUACCACCCUGGUUUGUUUGAGGUUCUAACCUUGGCCCGUGAUCCGGGUCGGGGACAGUGCAUGGUAGGCAGUUUGACUGGGGCGGUCUCCUCCCAAAGCGUAACGGAGGAGUACGAAGGUACGCUAGGUACGGUCGGAAAUCGUGCUGAUAGUGCAAUGGCAUAAGCGUGCUUAACUGCGAGACCGACAAGUCGAGCAGGUGCGAAAGCAGGUCAUAGUGAUCCGGUGGUUCUGUAUGGAAGGGCCAUCGCUCAACGGAUAAAAGGUACUCUGGGGAUAACAGGCUGAUACCGCCCAAGAGUUCAUAUCGACGGCGGUGUUUGGCACCUCGAUGUCGGCUCAUCUCAUCCUGGGGCUGUAGCCGGUCCCAAGGGUAUGGCUGUUCGCCAUUUAAAGAGGUACGUGAGCUGGGUUUAAAACGUCGUGAGACAGUUUGGUCCCUAUCUGCCGUGGGCGUUGGAUAUUUGAAGGGGGCUGCUCCUAGUACGAGAGGACCGGAGUGGACGAACCUCUGGUGUACCGGUUGUCACGCCAGUGGCAUCGCCGGGUAGCUAUGUUCGGAAGAGAUAACCGCUGAAAGCAUCUAAGCGGGAAACUCGCCUUAAGAUGAGAUAUCCCUGGGGACUAGAUCCCCUUGAAGGGUCGUUCGAGACCAGGACGUUGAUAGGUCAGGUGUGUAAGCGCAGUAAUGCGUUCAGCUAACUGAUACUAAUUGCCCGUAAGGCUUGAUCCU
rnacentral:rRNA from 2 species